AUUGAACGCUAGCGGGAUGCUUUACACAUGCAAGUCGAACGCGUGGCGGACGGGUGAGUAAUAUCUCGGAACGUGCCUAGUAGAGGGGGAUAACUACUCGAAACAGUGGCUAAUACCGCAUACCAUCGGAGCGGCCGAGAUUGGAUUAGCUAGUGGGUGGGGUAAAGGCUCCCCAAGGCAACGAUCCGUAGCUGGUUUGAGAGGACGACCAGCCACACUGGGACUGAGACACGGCCCAGACUCCUACGGGAGGCAGCAGUGGGGAAUUUUGGACAAUGGGUGAAACCCUGAUCCAGCCAUGCCGCGUGUAUGAGAAGGCCUUCGGGUUGUAAAGUACUUUUGGCAGAGAAGCGGUAUCUGCAGAAUAAGCACCGGCUAACUACGUGCCAGCAGCCGCGGUAAUAC
rnacentral:rRNA from 1 species